GCGGCAUAUGCCCUCUGAUCUCCGAGGCUUCAGAACAAUAGCACAACGAUGCUGCGCACAAGCCAAAAUCUUUGGUUUCCUUCACAGAAGGCCCAGAUAUUUUUCUUCGGAGUGGAUGGUUCCGAGCAAUGCAAUCCUGCAUCGAAUCUACAUGCUGUACUUUCGUUGCCUCCAGACUAGAACUCUGAUCUAGUUUCGUUCAAGGAGAUGUGUUGUGUACAUCACACGAGAGAUCAAAUCAUAUAUCAUCUGUCCACUCGGGCCAUUCUCCAUCUAGGCAGUAGACCACAACAAUCAGCAAAACAUCCUUCCCAGUGGCCCCUAAGCAUUUGUUAUGUGACAAGGCACAGCAGCUAAGUAGGUUGCUGGAGUUCUCAAGCUAGCUAUGAUUUAUAUAAAAAUUUUAUUGUUAUAGGUCAUUACAUUAUACAAUUCGUAGUCAAAGAUCGUCUUAACUGCAAAUUAAAAUUUGUGCCAAUUCAUGAUUGUAGGCUUGCAGUUUCUGGAGCAAAUAAACAAGGGUUGCAUUUAUUCUUGUUCUCUGUUCUUAUGUUCUUUUGGUUCAGUGAAAAUAAACAUUAGUAGCUGUUUGCUAUUUAGCUCAGGAAGCUCAGUUAGCCGCAAAUGAAUAAAAACACCAGAACUUAGUGAUCUCAAUCAUCAUCUUUCCUGUUCAACAGAACUUACAAAACGAAGCACAUUUACUGCAAGAAGAGCAGUCAUAAUUCAAUGAAAAAUUCUGAGUUUGCUAUAAAAUACAAAAGGUGAAACUGUAAUUACCUAAUUUGCAGUAACUAAGUUCACCAAAGUGCUGUGGGGCCAGUAUAUACCAGACAAGAAAUACAUUUUGGGCCUUAACUUACAAAAACACACACACAUAUAAACUUUCUUUUCUCGGCGUGGUGUCAUCUCUUCUGUGCAACCAUGGAAGUGAAUGAACAAAUGGCCUGCUGCAGUGCACCUCAUGGAAUCUGACAUCAACUUGAAGCUCGCUAAAUCUCUUGAUCCCACUCAUCAUGCAUAAGCCAACAGAGUAGCCAACACAACCCAGAAUACUAAGAGUGGGAGUGUCAAUGGUUGUUUUGUUAGAGGGCUUGCAUUGGGCAGCCAUGGAUAAUUUUCAGGAGAUGGCAUGACACAGUUAUCACCAUUGAAGUACACUCGACGUGGGAAGGCCCAUCCCUUUUCGAAGGUGAAAGCCUGGGAGUCCUUGCGAAGAAGUAGUUCUGAUUGCACAUUCCCAAGUUUACCAGCUUGCAUCAGCAAAUCAUUGUAGAAUUUUACACCCCAGAACAUUGCCGUAUCAUCUGAAAUGGGACAAGCAAACUACAUCAGGGGAGGGAAGGAGAUUAUUUUGAUUCCUCUUUUGAGGAAGACAAGUUAGUUUACUUACUUAUGCCACCACCAUAUGGGGUAAGUGGUUUGUAGUUGAAACUGAACAGCUGAGUGAUAUUAUCAAAGUUUGGAUGCUGAACGACUAAGUUCCACUGCGUGUAAUUCAUGCGGAAGUUGAAGUUUGUGAUAGUGAUUUUCA